AUUUUACUAAUAUCUAAAUGAUCGAAACUGAAUGACAAUAGAAAAUAAAUUUAACUCUAAAGAACUCAAUGAAAGCUGAAUCAAAAUUCGAUUGAUAAAGCACUAGGGUAUAUCUGAUUUCACUUGGACCAAUUAUCAAUUCCAGCUAUUUCGAUUAAUAAUCCAAAUUUAAUUAUUAAUGUAAGGAUAAAUAAUCCUAAAUUAUUUAAUAAUCUCUCCUGAGUCUUAUUAAAUAUACUAAUUAAAACCUAUAAUCUAUCUUCCAAUAGUAAAAUAGAUUUCAAUUAGUUCAACAAGCACAGUGAUUAUUUUCAAGAUCCCACAGGUCAAAUCUUCUGCCCUCGCUCCAAUU
rnacentral:lncRNA from 1 species